rnacentral:ncRNA from 1 species
UUGUCUUCGGGGCAGGGUGAGAUUCCUGACCGGCAGUAAAGUCUGCGAGCGAGAGCUGAAGCGGUGAAAUUCUGCUACCGACGGUAUAGUCCGGAUGAAAGAAGAU